rnacentral:lncRNA from 1 species
CUCAGCUUGAGAACCUUCCUUGUGGGUCCAAUGCUGUUCCAAGCUAGCAGCAGGAGGUGUCCACUGACGGGAAGCACCUGCAACCAGUUCGUUUACCCAAGAGCGAAUCCACACAAGGGUAACAAUUUAGAACAAACAGCAGAAGAAAAGAAUUCAAAACUGGAUGAUCAACUUGGAAACAACAGAGUCUCCAGGGCCUAAGCAGAUGUCUGGUCACCACAACGGAAACUGAGAAGGAUUGCAGUUAGGAGCCACAGUGACCUGUGGUCUCUAGUCCGGAUGGCCCUGUGGGGAGCACUCGAGGAAGAAGAGGCUGACCGGCCCAAAGAGGUAGGAGUCCCAUCCCAGUGGCCAACAUCCCCCC